rnacentral:rRNA from 1 species
AUGAAAAACACCUUCGAGCGGCAUGGGAAAAGCUUCAACCGAUGUAUGAAAAAGCUUCAACGGUGUGUGAAAAGCUUCAACCUUGAAAAAAAAGCUUCAAUGGCCAUGGAAAAACAGCUUCAACCCGGCAUGGCCGUUGAUGGCAUGACGGUGCUGCAUCGCCACCGAGCUAUGACCAUCACUACGUGGAGCUGCGACCAGAGGAGGCAGCUGCUACAUGUGUGGAGCCGGGGGCAAGGAGAUGCAGAUGGCAACCAGCGACGAGGACGGCCAGCGAGGGUCCCGACCGGCGACGAGGAUGCCGCGGUGGAGCUUCAAGCUCCGUUUUUCUCGCGGAGGUAUGGUGGAGGUGUCGGCGGAGCUCGAGGCCGUUGCAAUUUUUAUCCAGGAGGGGAGGGGAGUGGAGGGGAGGGUGGGUGUGGGGAACGACUGUGA